rnacentral:tRNA from 1 species
GCUUGGCCGAGUGGUUUAAGGCGAUAGAUUUAAGCUCUAUUAUCGAAAGAUGCGUGAGUUCGAACGUCAGUCAAGACA